UACGUAGGAGGCAAGCGUUAUCCGGAAUGACUGGGCGUAAAGGGUGCGUAGGUGGUUUGACAAGUUGGUAGCGUAACUCCGAGGCUCAACCUCGGCACUACUACCAAAACUGUUGAACUUGAGUGCAGGAGGGGCAACUGGAAUUCCUAGUGUAGCGGUGGAAUGCGUAGAUAUUAGGAGGAACACCAGUGUCGAAGGCGAGUUGCUGGACUGUAACUGACACUGAGGCACGAAAGCGUGGGGAGCAAACAGG
rnacentral:rRNA from 1 species